rnacentral:rRNA from 1 species
GACGAGCCACACGAACGUUAUUCGGAAUUACUGGGCUUAAAGGGUGCGUAGGCUGCGCGGAAAGUUGGGUGUGAAAUCCCUCGGCUCAACCGAGGAACUGCGCCCAAAACUACCGUGCUCGAGGAAGAUAGAGGUAAGUGGAACUUACGGUGGAGCGGUGAAAUGCGUUGAUAUCGUAAGGAACACCUGUGGCGAAAGCGGCUACUGGGUCUUUUCUGACGCUGAUGCACGAAAGCUAGGGGAGCAAACGGGAGUUA